ACGCACGCUGGCGGCGUGCUUAACACAUGCCCGUCGAACGGAAAGGCCCUGCUUGCAGGGUACUCGAGUGGCGAACGGGUGAGUAACACGUGGGUGAUCUGCCUUGCACUUCGGGAUAAGCCUGGGAAACUGGGUCUAAUACCGGAUAGGAGCCAUUUUUAGUGUGAUGGUUGGAAAGUUUUUUCGGUGUAGGAUGAGCUCGCGGCCUAUCAGCUUGUUGGUGGGGUAAUGGCCUACCAAGGCGGCGACGGGUAGCCGGCCUGAGAGGGUGGACGGCCACAUUGGGACUGAGAUACGGCCCAGACUCCUACGGGAGGCAGCAGUGGGGAAUAUUGCACAAUGGGCGCAAGCCUGAUGCAGCGACGCCGCGUGGGGGAUGACGGCCUUCGGGUUGUAAACUCCUUUCGCUAGGGACGAAGCUUUUUGUGACGGUACCUAGAUAAGAAGCACCGGCUAACUACGUG
rnacentral:rRNA from 1 species